UACGUAGGGUGCGAGCGUUAAUCGGAAUUACUGGGCGUAAAGCGUGCGCAGGCGGUUUUGUAAGCCCGAUGUGAAAUCCCCGGGCUUAACCUGGGAAUGGCAUUUGGGACUGCAAGGCUGGAGUUUGGCAGAGGAGACUGGAAUUCCUGGUGUAGCAGUGAAAUGCGUAGAUAUCGGAAGGAACACCAGUGGCGAAAGCGGCUUCCUGGUCCAGAACCGACGUUCAGGCACGAAAGCGUGGGGAGCAAACAGG
rnacentral:rRNA from 1 species